GACGAACGCUGGCGGCGUGCUUAAAACAUGCAAGUCGAACGGGGGCUUCGGCACCAGUGGCAAACGGCUGAGUAACGCGUGGGUGACCUACCUGGAAGUGGGGAAUAACUGCCCGAAAGGGUGGCUAAUACCGCAUGUGAUGGGGAGACCGAUCGCGUUAUGAACGUCUUCGGACGCUUCGAGAGGGGCCCGCGUUCGAUUAGCUAGUUGGUGGGGUAACGGCCUACCAAGGCGACGAUCGAUAGCUGGUCUAAGAGGAUGAUCAGCCAGACUGGGACUGCGACACGGCCCAGACUCCUACGGGAGGCAGCUGUUAGGAAUUUUGGGCAAUGGGCGAAAGCCUUACCCAGCAACGCCGCGUGGGUGAAGAAGGCCUUCGGGUCGUAAAGCUCUUUUUCAGGGGAAGAUGAUGACGGUACCCUGAGAAUAAGCCCCGGCUAACUACGUGCCAGCCGCCGCAGUAA
rnacentral:rRNA from 1 species